AAAUGCCAUCCCAAUUCCCCUGAUGUUAAAAGAAACAUACAGUCUAUUCACUGGUUUUGCAAAAAACACUAACCUACAAACCCUUCUGGGCCAACAAGCUUGAGUGCGAUCCGGUCUGCAAUGAUGGAGGAAUUGCCAUGUGCGAUGUUGGCAAACGGGCCAGCAUGGACAAACACUGGAGUGCCCUGUGGAAACCAGGACACCGUGAGCUGAGCUGCCAAUCCUGCUUCAAAGUGGGAUCACACAUUCAACGGUAUGGAAUUGAUUUGGAAUCGGAAGGAAGAAUACUUCCCAGAGGGAAAAUAUAAAGUCAUCUCUUUUAUUUCAGUAACGUCCCAGUCACAGGUGUGAGGAAGAAUGAGAAGAAAGAGAUGAGCAAGUGGAGAAGGUCUUGACUACCCAGGUUAAGUGUGCUUAAUUUUUUUUUUUUUUUUUUGACACGGAGUCUCGCUCUGUCGCCCAGUCUGGAGUGCAGUGGCGUGAUCUCGGCUCACUGCAAGCUCUGCCUCCCAGGUUCACGCCAUUCUGCCUCAACCUUCCGAGCAGCUGGGACUACAGGCGCCCGCCACCAUGCCCGGCUAAUUUUUUGUAUUUUUAGUAGAGACGGGGUUUCACCAUGUUAGCCAGGAUGGUCUCGAUCUCCUGACCUUGUGAUCUGCCCACCUUGGCCUCCCAAAGUGCUGGGAUUACAGGUGUGAGCCACCGCGCCUUGCAAGUGUGCUUUAUAACCACUCUGCUCUGACUGUCCAAAACCAAUUCAAGAAGGCAGGAGUCACUCUGCUCACCUCCAGUGUCUGCAUGAGAUUGGGCUUGAUUGCGUCCUUCAUAAGCACUGUCAGUGCACCACUCACCCCCUACAAAACAAAUGUGUGCAGCAUCAACUCCCACCAGCAAAAAAACCCAACCUUCUGAAACCAAUAUUUGACAUUCUAGGCUUACCCAUGUUAGCCAUCUUGGACCAAUUGAUACUUUCACCUGAAUUGGACCAUUCAUGGUUUUUUUCUGGAUAUGCUAUGAAGUUGCCAAUUAUUAAAUUAUUUAUUUUUUGAGACGGAGUCUGGCUGUGUUGCCCAGGCUGGAGUGCAGUGGUGCAAUCUCGGCUCACUGCAAGCUCCACCUCCCAGGUUCACGCCAUUCUCCUGCCUCAGCCUCCCGAGUAGCUGGGACUACAGGCACCCGCCACUAUGCCCGGCUAAUUUUUUUGUAUUUUUAGUAGAGACAGGGUUUCAUUGUGUUAGCCAGGAUGGUCUCAAUCUCCUGACCUUGUGAUCCACCCGCCUCAGCCUCCCAAAGUGCUGGGAUUACAGGCAUGAGCCACCACGCCUGGCCAAAGUUGCCAGAUAGAAUACAAAUGACAUUCACAUGUAAUAUCUGGAAAAACAUGUAACUCUAGAAACAAGCAUCUUAAUCAAGCUCAGCUGCUGACUGAUGUGAGAAAUCCAUUCUAGACUAUUUUAGAGCACGACAAUGCUCGUUCCCAGAGUACUCAGUUAUUUGUAACUCUGGUAUCUGGGCAGAAAUUUCUAUAAAUACCAAACUCAAUAUGUGUCUUCCAAAGCUGAAACUGCAAUAUUACGCAAGAGUUCAAUACCAACUUUUAACAUCAGGUCACUCUAUUAAGCCAUCAAAGUGUAGCUGAACUACCUAGCAACAAAGAUAAAGCAAUGGUACUCUUGAUGUUCUCUGCAAAUUGAAGUCAUACACCCACUUUUAGAGAUGCCCACAGGAUGAAGAUGUUACUCAAAUCAUCUGGAACUUGUGAUCUAUUACUAAAGCAUACCAGCUAUUAUUCACUCUGAUGUACUUUUUAAACAUUUCAUAAUUAUCUUGUAAUUAGCAAAAUAGGAUUAAAUUGAUGAAUUAAUUGCAA
ensembl:lncRNA novel transcript, antisense to MTHFD1